CGGGGUGUAGCGCAGCCUGGUAGCGUGUUCGCUUCGGAAGCGAGAGGUCGUAGGUUCAAAUCCUGCCACCCCGACCA
rnacentral:tRNA from 1 species